rnacentral:rRNA from 1 species
UACGUAGGGUGCGAGCGUUGUCCGGAAUUAUUGGGCGUAAAGAGCUCGUAGGCGGCUCGUUUGCGUCGGCUGUGAAAACCCGCAGCUCAACUGUGGGCUUGCAGCUGAUACGGGCGGGCUGGGAUUCGGUAGGGGAGACUGGAAUUCCUGGUGUAGCGGUGAAAUGCGCAGAUAUCAGGAGGAACACCGGUGGCGAAGGCGGGUCUCUGGGCCGAUAUCGACGCUGAGGAGCGAAAGCGUGGGGGAGCGAACAGG